UGCCCCUUGGCCCAGUUGGUGAAGGCGCACGACUGUUAUGUAUGACGAACUUCAUGGCUUAAUCGUGAGAUCGCAAGUUCGAACCUUGCAGGGGCAG